CUGUGCCCAGAAGGGGCCCUGUGAAAGCAUGACGCACCGUAACAGCCUGCCCGCCAGGGCAGCCUCGGAGCUGCUGCUGUGUUCUCUCCCCCGCUCGGUGCCCCACGGAGGGGAAGUUAGAAGAAGAAGAAAAUGUUCGCAGACCAGGGGCUGGAGUGACGCGAGAGGAAGCUGGCUUUUAUCCCAGGGAGUCAUCUGACCUGGGGGACACCAACUUUCUUGAUGCAUAAUCCUAUGAAGUGUGGUUUCCAAGCAAGUGGAAGAUUAAAAGCAGGAAAUUAGAAGCUGGGUAAGAGGAGAUUUCCAGACAAUAAGCAAGGAGACAGAAAAAUCAUAAAAUAGAGGCACAAAAAUUUAAGAAGUGAUAUAAAUAGAGCUAUUUGGUGAAAGGGCAAAAACUCUGCCUUCCUCCAUAGGAUGUCCCUUGUGAGAACUCAAUGAGAUAACACACAGGAUCAUUAAGCACAGUGCCAGGUACGGCAUAAGCACUCAAUAUAGAGAAGCUACUAAAAGAUGCUAAAAGAGAAGACAUCGUGGCAGUACUGUGGUAGAGUACAGUGUCAGAGCAGAUGCUCAUAAUGCCAAUUUCAAACAAUCAUCUAAAGAUAAAAUGAAAUCCGUCAGUCUCUAUUGAAGCUUUCAGAAAGCUUGUACUCUUCUAUUGCAAAAGAUUUCCAUAAAAAAAUAUUAAAAAAGAAAGCAUGUUCUCGUGAAAGAAAUAAGCUUCAGUUUUUGAAAUGCAUCACUUAAGUAGAAUGCCUCAUUUCUGGGAAUGUCAGAUCAACAAGAACGGUCCAUACAUGUCUGCUAUUGUAAUCUUUCUUAUACUUUUAGACUUGUUUAGACGUUAGAUGUCCCUUAUCCCAAAUUACCAUUUUCCCUUCCAACAGGUCAGCUAAGUUUUUACUCAAGGUGUUAUUUGCAUUUGGUCCUUGUCUGCUCUCCAUAUGUACUUCAUGGAAUCAUCUAAUGUAUGGAUUCAUUUAUAUCUUUGUUUAUCAUCUACCUCAUUCUACAAAGGGUUCAAGGUGGCUUACAGGAAAAACAUACAAACUGAUAGUGAGAAAUAAAUAAAUGCAUAAAAAUGAGGAUCAAGGAAUAUAUUUCAGUGGAAAUAUUUGCUUACAAGUAGACUGCCUCCAAAAAUAGAGAUCAAUCAUGAUAGGCAUGUCGGGCAAAGAGUUGGCCCAACUAUAACCUAAGUACCAGGAAGUCUGUUAGGGUGGGAUGGGGUGGUAGUGGGAGGAGACUGUGGGCAGCGUAUACAUCCUAAGGGAAGAUAAGGACAGCUCAGUCAACUGACCCAAAAACAAAAUCUAAUCAUCAGAGGGGAUAAUGAUGUGUUUGUUUCUCAGAUCUGUUGCUGAGCCAGCCAACUGGAAGAGUGCGAGUGCUAUAAGUAAACAAAAAAGGCUCUAAUUCAGCAAAUUCUUUUCAGCACGGCAGAACAAUCUGCACUGCUUCAGGACCUCUCUAAGAGAAUGUAAUGUAAAGUGGAGAUCAUAGUUAAAUAUCCCUUCCAACUCACCUCAGGUUGCCAAGAACCUUUUGUUCUAUGGUAGCUCAAGUGUCGAAGGAUUGUGACACUUGGUAGGUCAAUGGUAACCACCAGUAGGAAGCUUUAGAACAACAGGAGAAACUAUGGUGCACAGUGGGCAGAGGAGCAGAAAUACCGUUCCAGAAAAGCCACACUGCAUGGAAAAGAGGGGACACCACAGCGGUUGGGGAAGCGAUGCGGCCACGAGUGCAGUAUUGCUAAAUUAGUGACAGCGCCGUCAUGUAGACUGCUGUGUCUUCUGGAAGGGACCAAAAUUCUUAGCCUUGCCCUUCCUGCUGUCCACCAAGGGAGUUCAGGCUUUGCCCUCCACUUUAUCUCUUACCCUCCAAGGACUGUUGUGUGAUUACUUUAUUAGUUCUCUAGGUUUUUAUGAUACAGAAAACACAGAAGGAACCACAGAGACCAGAGUAAAGCAGAAAAGGAUAAGAGGUGCAUGAACUGUGGCUGGAGAAGGAGUCCUCUCUUGAAGCAAGAAAACAAGGCUGCACAGAGAUCGAAUGGAGAAGGGUUUUUUUAGGCAUGUGUGAUUUCUUAUAGGUGAAAGGUACCAGAAAAUUGAUGGGAUGUAAUGGAUGUGGCUAGAAGGAAAAGGGAGUAUGAGUGUGGAUGUGGUCUAUGCAUGGCAUUGCUGUCAUGAUGUUUGAGGAUUGCAAGUAAAGAAGAUGAAUUUAUAUUGCAAACGGGACUGGACCAUGUUACCGGCUAUGAUGCUCUAAGCCUGGACCUUGAAGGUCAUGGUUUUGUAAGCAUUGUUCCAGUAGUGUCUUUUUGACCUUCUGUGUGGAAUUCUGCUGUCCAGCGUAGCAGCAGUUCCUAACAGAGCAGUGGAAGCUUCAGCAAAUGUGUCCAUGAGCAUAUGUGAGAAAUUUCCAGGGACUCAAGACAAAAAACAACCCACUUAAGGGGGCAGGAGGAAGAAGAGGAGGUUUUGCAGGAGAGGAAAAAUUUGCAGAUCCCGUGUCAGCAGAUGGAGGCAGGAGCUAGUGCAACUUGAAUUAUUGCCAUUAUUGAGUUCAUAGGCUGGUAAAGGGGGACAAUGUGCAUUCCAUGGAAGUUGUGAUAAGAGGAUUCCCCACUAUGUUUAUACCAAGAUUGUUCCCACUCACCUCAAAGAAAAUAGAAGUUACUUCAGGAUGGCAAGAGAAACUUGCCAUGAUCUGGCUGCCACUUUAGCCUCAUCUUUUAUCACUCCUUCCCUUGCAAUCUAAACUCCACAUCAGUGGUCAUGGCUGUGGGGGAUUUCCAAGCCACACCCCAGGGACACUUAGCCAUGUUUGCAACACUUCUGAUUGUCACAACUGGUGAGGGAUGGGGAAAGCGACUGGCAUCUAGUGAAUAGAGGUCAGGGAUGUGGCUAAACAUCCUACAAUGCACAAGACAGCCCCCAAAGGACAGUCCCCCCAAUGUCAGUAGUACUCAGGGUGAGAAACCUUACUCUAGAUACAUUGAAUUUCUUGUCACUGCUCAAGCUUGACUCAGCUCUUUAUCUCCAACUCUCUGAUAUGACUGUUCCUUCCUCCUGGGAAGCAUUCCCAAUCCAAAGUAACCAUCAAACUUUUACUCCUCCACAUUUCCACUCAACCCUGAUGUUCUCUUUGAGAACUUCCUUGGCUAUCAGAUAUUGACUUGGGUGCUACUUUCUGGAUUCUUCCAUUGCACUUUGUGUCCACUUUCAUUAUGGCCAUAUUAUAAUUCAUGGUAGCUUAAUGUCUUCUCUUCCCUCCUCCACUCCUCUGUAAGUUCACAAAGGCAAGGAGGGGCCAGGUCUUUUUAUCUUUGUAUCUCCAAUGCUUGAAAUUGUUGAGUAGGUAAACAAAUAAUUCAUUUAAUCUUUUCAUUUUUAAAAAUGGGCAUAAUGCUAUCUGCUCUAUGUUCUUAACUUAUUUCUUGUCAUGAUGGAAUGAGAUAAUAAAUGACAAGUUAUUUAAAGUUUCAUAAUGAUAACAGCUUCAAUUUACUGAGCACCUUCUAUGUGCUUGCCAUUGGGUGAGAUGCUUUGCAUUUAACACUUCUAAAUCUCCCAAAUCAGUAAGAUGAACCCAGAGGGACGACCUGGCAUAAGGAAUUCAAAUGACUUGUCCAAGAUCACAGAAUAGCAAAUAGCAGAUUUGAGGCUCAAAUCCAAAUUUUGGGAGUUGGAAAGGGGUACAGAUCUUGAUAUCACUGCAAAAACUUUGGGGUUCAAAGAUAGGGAGACUCCCAAAGAUAGCAAAUUUAUCCAAAUAGUCACACACACAAAAAAAGAAUACUUUUUCUGUCACCUGACCAACACUGAGAAUUUUCUCAGGGAACCUGAAGUUUUAAUAGCGUCACUCCCCCACCUGAUUAAUCAGAAUUGCUGUUUGUUUGUGCAUGAAAGAUAACUCAUUAUGGCAAAUAUGCAUUAGAAGACCAUAAUAUAUGCAUUUAUUCAAUUAAGUCUAAUGUAUUAUUUAAGGCUCGGUGUGUGAUAUUUAUCACUAGCAAAUGCUAAUUUAUACAGAUUAUCAGAGUCUAAUUAUGUGCACAGCUUGGGAGGAUAGCCUGGUACUUGGAAGUUGCAACCAUGACUUACUCUACUGUGGACCUGAAUGUUAGAGGAUCUGGUAACCUACGCCACAUGUACACUUAAGCUCAUAAACAGCUUUAACAGCAAAUGGAACUCCAUUACCAUGGUCCCCUCCAAUUGUUUGUGAAAGCCACUGCCAGCACCUUGGAGAGGUACCACUCACUCCUGAGGGUUUCCUUAGAAUCAUGCACCCUCUUGAGCAUCCAUAUCCCCCAUCAUCCACCAACCAGAGUUAAUGCUAAUUCAGUAGCUGCCUUCUCCAUUAAACCAACCCACCUAUGUGCUGUAUGCAGGAGCCAAGAGAGUCCUUGAAACAUUCGCUCAAUACACAAGCACUGAAAAUCUACUCUGUGCCAGGCUUUGUACUCAGCUUAGAGGAUACAAAGAUGGAUAAAGCCAGGCCCCUGAAUCAUGGGAUAAGGGUUCUGCAAACUUCUAGGGCACAGAUGUUAGCAUCCCACAGUCCAGAAAUGGAGCCCUGACCAUCAUUUAUCAGCUGUGUAAUCACAUGCAAGUGGAUUUAACCCAUCCUUAGUUUCCUCGUCUCUUACAGGGGAGAACCUACACUCCGUAUACACUUCUCUUGUAUGAAAGAAGUCACUGUUUUUGACACUAGAUGCAAAUCUGCUUUCUUGUCCACACAGGACCAGCCCUUAGGCCCUGCUGUGUCUCCUCCCGAUAUUCAAUCACAUCCAACAUCACCUGAUUUUUUUCUUUUUAAAGACUUUACUGUAGGUUUUUCUGUGGAGACACAGUGUUAAUAUUUUUUGUUCCACACAAUCUACCCUGAAAAUAUUCAUCAGAAAUAUUUGUUUCUCCAGUUUGUAUUUUCCUGCUCUCUCUCACCCACCAGGACUUGCUUCUCUGUCUUUCCCCAGACUGAACAUACCCUGUUCUCUGUGAUCCUCAGCUGUGUGCUCUCUACUCGGACUUCCAUGCCUUGCAUCUCAAAAAGAAACACCUGAUGUUUUCAGAGCCCAGAGGGGUAAGAGGUCCUUGAAAAAUCCUGCCUCUGUAGUCUGAGAUCCUUGCCCACUUACAGGGUGGACCAUACUUGAUUUAGGAAAAAGAUGGACUUGAGAAAUUAUCAUUGUUAUGUGAGCUGUUCCAUUACAAAGAGAUUGUUUCUUUGUAACUAAAAGAGGAGGGAAGGAAAGAAUCAGAUGGCCUUCAAACAAGGCAGAUAUCUUGCCAAAUUUAAAUCUUGUAAAAUCUCGUAAAAGGCUGUCUGUAAGCUGUUGCAGUAAAAGUAACAACGCCUUGUAGCUGUGGACUAUUUUUGCUGUCAUGCUGGAGGGCAUUUUAUCAGAAACAGUUGUUGAGAUGAAAUAUUUAGCAAAGUGAAAGAGAACAAUAUAAGUCACCACUAUCUUGGUAUAGCUAUUUCUUCCCAAAAGAAAAGUUGAAAUAAUGGUACUUACCACUAUAAACUCCCCAUCAGAAGCCCACAAUUAACAUUUUACAAUAUCAGUGUCAUCAGUGAAGUAAGCAAGCCACCAAAAAGAGGGAAGAUGCUCUCAGUUCAUCUUCCACCUGAUCCUCCUCUGCUCAUUCACCUUCUUCAGUUAAAGGCACUUCCUUUAAUCCCAUAAAUGUCUGGCAAUUCCCCCAUCUUUUGGUUUUCUUCUUAUUGUCUUAGUCUAGAAGGAUCUUCCUGCACAUUUCCAUUUAUACAUGCCCAAAUCCCACUCAUCCUUCAAGGCUCAGCUCAAGAACAGGUAACAUUUUUUUGAGCCCAUGCUACAUCCUAGACACUGAUUAAUUGCUUUAUUUGCAUCAACUCUCUGAAUUUUCAAUAUCAGCCCUAAGAUGAGUACCAGUAGUAGUCCCAUUUCACAGAGGAGGCAACUGAGGUCCAGAGAGGUUAAUGGACUUGCCCCUAAUCAAACAGCUAAUCUGAGGUGGAGCUUGGAUUUGACCCUUAGGAUGUGGCCCCAGAGUCUCGUGCCCUGAACUUCUAUGAUUGUCUGUGAUACUUCUCCCGAAUGUUCUCUGUGACUGUCCCCUGGAAUGUUCUCCUCUCCUUGGAGUUUCUAUAGCACUUUAUGUUCAAUUCUCUCAAGACACAGUUCACAUCCUACCUUGCACUGAAAUUGUGGUCCUCUUCCCUUUCCCCUGCUAGAUCAGAUGAGAGCUGAGUCCACCUCAGUUUUACCUGUUUACUUUCUUUAAAAAAGUACACACAGUAUGUCCUCAAUAAAUAGAAGAGCCUAGAAAUGGUAGAGCAGAAAACAGCCCCACAAUUUUCCUGCAGAGUGGACGUGCUCAUUAUAACAUCCAAGAGGUCACUCUUGAACACUGGAAAUCUAGGGAAAUAUCCUGCAGUUAAACAAAGGAUUUCCCCCUUCGUUUCUUUCCUCUAUGCAAUAUUUGGGCUGAAAACGUUGCUUUAGAAGCAGACUGAUUAUGCAUGUGUGUUGGAGACUUUAAAAAAAAAAUCAGAGAUUCAUCUCCACAGUGGGAAAUGAAGAAGGAGAGAGGGGGUAGCUGUAAAGAAGCCAAUUUGUUUUUUCAAACAUGAAAGGAAAAAAUAUAUAAUUUAACCAAGAAAUUAUCUCCAAACGCCCAGGGAACCCCCUGCCUGUCCAAACAGACAAAACACACAAACCUUCUACGUGUGUUUUCGUGGGUUGUUAAUUUGGUGCUGGCCCUGGAGGGGAGCAGUAUUACGAAUUCACGCACAUACGCAAGACGAAAAGCAGAGGAGCUGGAAACUGGAGGAUGCAUGAGGCUAGCAAAGGCUGUGUGUCCGAAGAUCCAGGGCUACGAGCAAUUUCCAUGCAUGUUUGGUGUGACAGGGAGAGGGACUCAGAUCUCAUAAUUCCAACAGCUCUUGACGAAAGUACCUUAGGCCUUCUCAAACUUGAUAUUAAGAAUCUCCUGGGAACAUCAUCAAAAAUGCAUAUUCCCAGCCUCCAUCCCAAGCCUCCUGUGUCAAAAUCUCCCCAAGGGGCACCCUGGAAUCUGUAAAUCCACCAAGUGCUCCUAGUGAUUCUUAGGAUCAAACGAGGUGGGAAACAUGGCCUGGGGCAAUGGGAGCUGAAUUUCUGGUUUGUGUCAUGCUGGGGUGCAAGGAUUAGAAUGUCAAGGUCCCCAGGGUAAGGUAGAGAAGGAAGCCAGAUUCGAAAUUGGGAGACCAGCAGGUCAUUGAAACUCUCUGGUCCUUGCUGCAUCGUCUGUGAAGUUUCCUUGACAGCUUCACACUUUAUCUGACAGGCUCUCAAGACGGCCUGCUAUGCAUCUGCAGCAUUCAUGCCUGCUUCCAUAUUGGAUAAUCCAUGAUUGUGGAAAAUCAUUUUGUGGAAAUAGCAACGUGUGGCUUCUAAGGCUAGUGAUAAAUGACAUCGCGGCCUCCACUUUGUGUCUCGGAUCAUUGGCGCUCUCUCUCUAGGAGAAGCCGGCCACCAUAUUGUGAGGAAGCUCAGGCAGCCCUAUGGAGAAAUCUGUCGAGCUGGGAACUGAGGCUCCUGCAACAGUCUCCAUCAUCCUGCUAGUCGAGCCAUCUUGGAAUCAUCCUCUGGCCCUGGUCAAACAUUCAGAUGACAGCAGCUCAGCCAGAACUACCCUAGUAAGCCUCUCUUGAAACUCUGAUCCACAGAAACUGCAUGAGUUAUGGUUAUUUUAAGCUGCAUUUUUUAUGCAGCAUAGAUAAAUAUACAGUCUCUCUUUCACCUGUGUCUGACAAUGACUUAAAGAGGGCCUAGGAAUUGAUGGUCCGCAUGGAUACUACCUGGCAUGAUAACAACUAGCAGGUUUUGAAUGAAUACUGAACACUUCACAUGCACCAUUUAAUUUAAACUUCUUAAGAGACAGACACCAUUAUUCUGAUUUUAUAGAAGAAACUAAGGGUUAGAGAAGUCAAUUAACACAUCCAAGGCCUCUGAUUUAAUAGGAGUGAAGCCACAACUGGAAAGAAGUUCUGCUUCAAAAGGAAUUCUCUCUCUUUAUUUUUUAAGGCUGAGCAAUAUUCCAUUGUAUGUGUAUACUGGAUUUUC